GCUAUAGCCAAGCGGUAAGGCACAGGACUUUGACUCCUGGAUUCGCGGGUUCGAAUCCCGCUGG
rnacentral:tRNA from 1 species